UACGUAGGGUGCAAGCGUUGUCCGGAAUUAUUGGGCGUAAAGAGCUCGUAGGCGGUUCGUCGCGUCGGCUGUGAAAUCCCGAGGCUCAACCUCGGGUCUGCAGUCGAUACGGGCGGACUGGAGUUCGGCAGGGGAGACUGGAAUUCCUGGUGUAGCGGUGAAAUGCGCAGAUAUCAGGAGGAACACCGGUGGCGAAGGCAGCUCUCUGGGACGGUACUGACGCUGAGACGCGAAAGCGUGGGGAGCGAACAGG
rnacentral:rRNA from 1 species